rnacentral:rRNA from 1 species
AGUGAACGCUGGCGGCGUGCUUAACACAUGCAAGUCGAACGAGAACGGAUUAUAGCUUGCUAUAAUUGUCAGCUAAGUGGCGCACGGGUGAGUAAUGAAUAGGUAAUAUGCCUCUUACUAAGGGAUAACAAAUGGAAACGUUUGCUAAUACCUUAUACUCCUUAUUAACAGAAGUUAAUAAGGGAAAGAUUUAUUGGUAAGAGAUUAGCCUGUAUUGUAUCAGUUAGUUGGUGGGGUAAUGGCUUACCAAGACUAUGACACAUAACUGGUUUGAGAGGAUGAACAGUCACACUGGAACUGAGACACGGUCCAGACUCCUACGGGAGGCAGCAGUGGGGAAUAUUGCACAAUGGACGAAAGUCUGAUGCAGCAACGCCGCGUGGAGGAUGACACAUUUCGGUGCGUAAACUCCUUUUAUAUGAGAAGAUAAUGACGGUAUUAUAUGAAUAAGCACCGGCUAACUCCGUGCCAGCCGCCGCAGUAA